GCUUGUCUCAAAGAUUAAGCCAUGCAUGUCUAAGUAUAAGCUUUUAUACGGUGAAACUGCGAAUGGCUCAUUAAAACAGUUAUAGUUUAUUUGAUGGUCACUCACUACUUGGAUAACCGUGGUAAUUCUAGAGCUAAUACAUGCGUCAAGACCCGACUUUUUGGAAGGGUUGUAUUUAUUAGAUAAAGAACCAAUCCAUGCUUGCAUGGUUUUGUGGUGAUUCAUAAUAACUGAUCGAAUCGCAUGCCUUCGGAUCGAUUUAUCGAUGCAUCAUUCAAGUUUCUGCCCUAUCAGCUUUGGAUGGUAGGGUAUUGGCCUACCAUGGCUUUAACGGGUAACGGAGAAUUAGGGUUCGAUUCCGGAGAGGGAGCCUGAGAAAUGGCUACCACAUCCAAGGAAGGCAGCAGG
rnacentral:rRNA from 1 species